AGUUACAAUUGGAACAUAUUUUGUAUCAGUAGACAUUUCAUUUACCCUUGAACUAGAAACAUAAACUACUGUUUGAUGUGAGGAAAUAAAGAAUUCAAGAAUGAGGCAAAUACUUGAUAUGCUUCACUUCAACUUUGAAUCAGUUUUAUAUGAGAACUGAGAAGUGCCCACCCGCUGAGCUCCUAAAGAGCCUACUUUGCAACUCAAUCUAACUGAACCAAGCAACAGAACCCAGUUCUCUUUUCAGGAACUCAGUAACCAGUCGCUGCUAUCAGGUAUAGUUGUCACUGGAACAAGAGUCCUGAAUAUGGAAAGAAUGACCGAGGGACACUGUCUUGGUGGGACUCCACAGAAAACGUAAGAUAGUAUUCGGCAUGAAUGCUUCAGGAUCAUGCUUGCUGCCAAGAGUGAUUGGUGUGACAUGCUGUCACAAAGGGAUAAUUCUGACAUGUGAGCUUGUUGAGUGCCCUGACAAUGGUGACAGGAAAGCUGUAUUGGGUAUAUGUUCUUGACCCACCUUUGCUUUCCUAUAUCCCAGAUUAUACAAGCUGGCUUGCUUCAAGGUUUUACACUUUGUGAGACAGAGAACAUAGAGACUGUGGAAACUGAUUAGAAAAAUUAAUCAAAAUGAAUAUUUAUAAUGACUUUUCUCUUUCCUUUAAAGUGCCCAGUUAUUUUAACUCAGUGAUGGACUGACUGGUCUAGAAAUAAGUCCAAUGUUGGAUAUUCUAAUUACGAAGAUAGCUAAAAUAUCUUUAUCAGCCAGCUUACCUGACUCUUACCACUAUUGACCUGAGAAGUAACAGUUUUUUUCUGUUGAUUCCCAAACCACAUCCCCCACACUAAGAGGCCAGGCCCUGGCACUGAUCUUUGCUAAUUUGCAACUGAAUUGAGUGCCUGGGACAUCCCCACAGAUAACUUUAACUCUGCUCCUUUUAACUUUUCACUUUGUUUUUUAAACAGGUAGGUUACUUCCAUACAGUCUCACCUUCAGCAAAGCUCAGAUAUGGCAGUUAUUCAUCACUCUGUAGAGAUGCAUUGAGUGCUUAUUGUGGCUUUGGUCUGAAUGAAAAAAAGAUGUGCUAUGAGGUACAGCAGCCAAAGAUGGACCAAUGAUGAUUCUAUUGACUCUUAUCAAACUUAGACAGAGGCAUGUGCCAAAAGGAUAUGUUUGUUCAUUAUAAACACUAAAAGGCUAUGCUUGUGCAAAUAAACACAAAUAAGCUGCAUGUGUUCUCCUGGAUGGGUCAGAAGGAGUCUAGACAUUCAGACCCAAGGCAGGCAGAGCCACCAGCCACCAUAAUUCCCAAACAGGGCCAUGGAGGAUAAGUAAAUUUUAUGCAUCAGCCCAGCUAAUUUUUAAUAAAUAAAAAGGGAGGAACUGUAACACCCCCUCUCCCCAGUCUUAAGCUGGCUGAACAAGUCUAUGACACUGGAGCCAGGCAUCUGGCUCUGCUACAUGUACAUCUUCCUGUCAGAGGACUGACUGACAACUGCCUGCCCACUGAGCUGCUGAAGAGCCUACUUUGCAACUCAAUCCAGCUGAAACAAACAACAGAAAUUCACCCAAAACAAAGGGAUGGGUCUUUGGGUUUUCCCAUAUUUAUUCAGUGACAUACAUUAAAGAUUGAGCCUUGAUUAGA